AUUGAACGCUGGCGGCAGGCCUAACACAUGCAAGUCGAGCGAGCGGCGGACGGGUGAGUAAUGUCUGGGAAACUGCCUGAUGGAGGGGGAUAACUACUGGAAACGGUAGCUAAUACCGCAUACCAUCAGAUGUGCCCAGAUGGGAUUAGGUAGUAGGUGGGGUACCGGCUCACCUAGGCGACGAUCUGUAGCGGGUCUGAGAGGAUGAUCCGCCAGACUGGGACUGGGACCCGGCCCAGAGUCCUACGGGAGGCAGCCGUGGGGAAUAUUGGACAAUGGGGGGAACCCUGAUCCAGCCAUGCCGCGUGUGUGAAGAAGGCCUUAUGGUUGGAAAGCACUUUAAGCGAGGAGGCGUUACUCGCAGAAUAAGCACCGGCUAACUCUGUGCCAGCAGCCGCGGUAAUUC
rnacentral:rRNA from 1 species